UAUAUUUAUUUUUAUACUAUAUGUGUUUUAAUUUGUAACCUAAUAAAUUCAAAGUUAUUCCAAUUCAAGUCAUUGAAGCCUUCAGGAAUCUUCAUUGGGGGAGUGCCAUCCCUAGAAAGUGACACUUUGCUUACCACCCUCAGAGCCAGGAAUUUAAGACUCUUAAAAAGGUGAGCGCUAUACCUACCUUAGUUGGAUUACCUAUAUUCUAUAAAGUACCGCACAUUUGGUCGCUUUUUUCUCCCUCUUUUUGUAUUUCUCCCGGAUGGAACAUCAGUUAUUAAGUGGUGUGUUGCUGCCCUAAAAGCAAAAAGGUUUUCCUUACAGAGCCAAUAACAUAUAGGCUCCAGACUAUGUGAGUGGUUCUAUUUUAUUUACCCAUCACCGAUUAUUGUCCAAGACCAUCUGCACUAUUAACUUUAUAUUUUCUUCUUUUCCAUAUGUAUCAUUUGCAUUUGUUUGUUGUCACACUGAAUUGAUGGGGUAAGUUUAACACCUGCACUAUCCUCAUUUUACAGCGCUCCACUAAUUGGUAUACGUAGUAUACCAUACAUUUCCUGUAUAUCUAAGAUUUAUUUUAGGAAAAGGGUAUUCCACUGUGUGUAGAAUUGCUUUUUAAUUUAGGCACUUUAUUAUAUCACUUACUUUCUCCUAGUAGAGGUAGAUUUUUGUUCUUAUUGUUUAGAACAGAGAAAUGCCUAAAAAUAGCCCCUACCCCUUCUUCCGCUUUCUGAUCUGUGAGCUAGUAAGUUACAUACCCAGUGAGCGCUACGGAAUCUGAUGGCGCUAUACAAAUAAUAAAAUAAUAAUAAUAAUAUGUGGGCCAAAGUGAGCCCAAUCCUUUAGGUCUAUUAAAAAGCAAAACAAACACACAAACAUUCUGCUAAAUAUAUGAUCAGGGAAUGUUCUUUCCACUAGGUCAGUGGUUCCAAACCCAGUCCUCAAGUACCUUAUAACAGUCCAGGUUUUAGGGAUUACCCAGUUGUGUCUAAGGUGUUUUAAGAAGAAAAAAAACAGGUUAGACACAACACGGUAAUCCCUAAAUCCUGGCCUGGUAUACUUAAGAACUGGGUUGGGAACCCCUGCCCUAUUUCCAAGUGAUAACCCUUCAAUAUGGGUCUCCAAGCCACUAGCAACCCCCUAAUAUACCUACCACCCUACUUACUCACUUACCU